CAGGGAGGAACCCAAAAUGCUCUAAAUGCUCCCCAUCCAUCUUCCUCUCCACACUGCCUCCCAUACUGCAGGCCUGGUGUGAGACUGCAGAGCCUUUUGAGACAUCCUCAUGGCUUGCUGCAAGCCAGGAAAACAUGGACAGGGGCCAGUGGGCUCCCAGGUUCCUUCCAUUUUUCUUGGUGUGGUCUGGACAGCUGAGGUCUCACCAGAGGAAGAGGAGACAAUAAACUCCUACCUUUG